rnacentral:rRNA from 1 species
GACAGAGGGUGCAAACGUUGCUCGGAAUUACUGGGCGUAAAGCGCGUGUAGGUGGAUUGGUGUGUCAGAUGUGAAAGCCCUGGGCUCAACCCAGGCACUGCACCUGAAACUACCAGUCUUGAGUGGUGGAGAGGGAAGUGGAAUUCCUGGUGUAGAGGUGAAAUUCGUAGAUAUCAGGAGGAACACCAGUGGCGAAGGCGGCUUCCUGGACACUAACUGACGCUGAGACGCGAAAGCGUGGGGAGCAAACAGG